AUAAACAAAGACAUUUGCUAGAGUUAUUCCGAUGUCCUUCCUCAAUUCUACUCAGAGUCCAACAUGUACUUACAAUUAUAACACAACAACAAAACGUCCAAUUACUCUCCAUUUUUUAUGAGCAAAGGCUGAUGCUCAAUCCGGUAUCGUAUAUAUAUGUAUAUAUAUAUAUCAAUGAUAUCUUGUAUGUAGUAGAAAAUGAAGUUCCUCACUAGUUAAAUAGCAAUGAUAGCAGCUAAGGAAAAGAAAAUUCACUCUUCCAUUUGCAAACUCCAAAAAAAUGGAACUGAGUACUGAAUAGCAUCACUGAGUAUAAAAUAUAGUCAUUAGUAGUUACUUAUAAGUUAUAAGUUAUCUUGUAAUAGUUGUAUUCAAUAGUUUAAAAAUGAUAAUCACAGAAUUAACAUCUUUGAUUGUCAAAAAAUUCGUUAAAAUGAUGAAGUUCCUUUAUGAUCAAUAUUCUUUGUACUAAAGAGGACAUCACUCAUCAGUCAUCACAAGUGAAAACGCUACAAACUUGGAGAUUGCCAGAGAUGUAUAAAAUACAUCUGUCCUACAAUGCGGGAACGGUUUUUUUAGCUGACAAUCUGAUCAGACUUUUUUUAUUAUCCAAAGUUGUUAUCAUUAUUAUUUCAUUCUUAAGAAGAGAACAUCUAAGCAUAGAGAAAUAACUUGUGCGGUCAUGAAAGUCGGAGAAUAACAAUGUGAGUCCUUAUUGGAAUAAGAAUCCCCAUUCGAGUAAUUCCAGCCUAUAUGUCGUUCCUACAAAGUAAUAUUUGUGUACGUUUAUUUCCUCUCACAUCUGCUUGUAGCUGACCCUAUAAAACAUCAUGACAUCUAAGCUGCUCUGCCACAAAACAUUCUUCAAAUUGUCAUUAUUACCAUGUUGAUUUUUGGUUUCUUUUUUUAAAUGCCCAAAGUACAAACGAUUUUUAUCACUUAAAUCAACAUAGUAACCUUGUUAUUUUGAAGAAUGUUUUAAAGGAGAAGGGCUUAGGUGUCAUGAGUUCAGCUGUGACGAGGGAGAAGGAAAUAGACAAGGACAUUGGCAAGAAUUACCCCCAUGUUGAUCAACAAUUCUACUCUGAUUUGAAUAAGGACUUAGACUUAUAACUCCACUACAAAUCUUCAAAGUUACUCCCUAUCCUUUAUGAGCACACCAGAAUAUUCAAUCAGGUUUUGAAUAUAAUUGAAUCUAUUUAGGAAAGGAUGUUCAAUACCCAUGAAUUAAAUAAUAAAGACAAAUGCUAAGGAAAAGAAAAUUCCUUCUUUAUACUAGCAAUUACAAAUUAACGAGCCAGCUAAAAACACACUUGAUAUGGUACACCUGAAUUAAGACCCUUGUAAACAUGACAUACCUGUUAUAAGAUUUUGGUUGAAGAAAAUAAAUACCAGCUAUAAAGAGGAGAAUCUUCUACAUGAAAAAUACCAUUAGUGCAGAUUCACAAUAAUACAUACGUCAGAGGGAGAAGUUAACACCACGACGCCAUAUUUAUUAAUGAACCAAAAAAAAAGGAAGAACACAAAAACAACCUUUUGUUUGUUUGCUAAUUUUAAAGGUAGUAUUUUCAUUUCAAACUAAAGAGACACAAAAGGAAAGAGGAGACAAGAUGGUUGAAAUAAAAUUUAAAGUAAAACAGUGUAUAUGAAUUAUGUUCAGGAUUCACGUAACCUCGAUCAAAAAUAGAGAAUAAAAUACACUUCGCAGAUGAUAAGGGUGAUGUAUUUUUUGCUUUAAAACAAUUUUUAUAAUUUUUUAGAGUUUUUUUAUAGUUUUAAUUAAUAUUUUAUUUUUCUGGUUUAUUCUAAAGAAAAAUACAUAACCCUAUCCGAAACGUCGACUUGUUUAAAUUGCAUUAGAUGAAUAGUAGUCAAAAGAAGCGACAACAAUGAAUUGGGGAAGAGAUGAAAAUAGCGCAUAUACAGAAUUUUAGACGAAUCAGAGUUAGAGAUAAGAAAAAACAUUCUUGAUUGAUAAACAUGACGCCUCCUUCCCUUAGAGCCUCUUUAUUACAAACUACUCAACUCUACCUCUAAGUGCAAUUCCUCGUUGAACUUGGGAGUAGAAUUGGGGUUUUGUAUCGAAGUAACUCCAUCCUAUAAUAUGUCAUUGCUCUAUCGAGAGGCGAAAAAAUCUUUAGACUUUGUUUUUGCUACAUAAAUUGUGAGUGCAGUAAAAUUAUCUUAGAAGCCGAGAAAAUGCCAUCUGAACGUGAUCAACGAAUUUCGGUCCGUGCACUUUUAGACGCUGGCAAAAAACCAACAGAGAUUACAAAGCAGCUCUAACAUGAACGUGGUGUUCCAGCAGGAUGGUGCGCCUGCACACAACGUCCAAAAAGGCCCAGAUGUGGUUGGAGGAUAACUUGCCUUUUUGUUCAAAGAAAACGUCACACAAAUAUCAACAACCUAAGGACACCGUCAACCAGCACAGGAAUGCCAUGUCUGCAGACUACAUACGCAAUGGAUGUAUGGCCUUCCGUAGCCCACUGGAAGCGGUCAUUGCUGCCAAGGGGGGCUACAUCGAUAAUUAGGGUAUCCAAGACAUCAUAUUAGUAAUUUUUAAUUUAUCGAUAUACCCUAUUACAACUGCUUGUUGAAACACAUAUUGAUAAAGUUCUAGAUUGAAAGUGUAUAUAUUUUUUCGCGUCACCCGGUAUACGGAGUGUUGACAUUUGUGUUUAUUUCCUUCCUCUCACAGUUGCUUGCAGUGGAUCUAAUAAAACGUCAUGUCCAGGUUUCUUGUAUUUUUACAUACCAACAGGAAAUAUUUUAUGCACCAAUGCGGAUCAACAUAAGUGGCCCAGAGUCUCUUCAAGCAGAAGAAAACAGAUAUGAAGAGUAAAAAAAAUAUAUGACUCAAAAUUAAAACUGUUUAUAUUCUAAGAAAACACGAUAUAUAAGAAUAAAAUAGUGUUGUUAUUAUUGUAAUGAAUCAUCCUUAAAAUAUUGAUUAAAAUAUGAAUAAGGAUAUACAAUAUUAUUUUUACUCAGGAAAUAAUAAUAUUUUCCUCUCACGUAGGUAUUUUUGAUUUUUUAUUAAUA
rnacentral:lncRNA from 1 species